rnacentral:misc_RNA from 1 species
UUAAGUUCAGCGGGUAUCCCCACCUGAUCCGAGGCCAACCUUGUAAAAAGUGGUCGGGGCGGCCGCCGCCUGACGAUCCGAGCGAGGGAUUUCUCUUGCUACGCUCGGUGCCGGACGCCGACGCCCACGGGUUUCGGGCCCCGUCCGCGAGGACGGGGCCCAUCACAGAGCAGGGCUCCAGGGUAGAAAUGGCGCUCGAA